rnacentral:rRNA from 1 species
UAGUCGAGCGGACAGAAGGGAGCUUGCUCCCGGAUGUUAGCGGCGGACGGGUGAGUAACACGUGGGUAACCUGCCUGUAAGACUGGGAUAACUCCGGGAAACCGGAGCUAAUACCGGAUAGUUCCUUGAACCGCAUGGUUCAAGGAUGAAAGACGGUUUCGGCUGUCACUUACAGAUGGACCCGCGGCGCAUUAGCUAGUUGGUGGGGUAAUGGCUCACCAAGGCGACGAUGCGUAGCCGACCUGAGAGGGUGAUCGGCCACACUGGGACUGAGACACGGCCCAGACUCCUACGGGAGGCAGCAGUAGGGAAUCUUCCGCAAUGGACGAAAGUCUGACGGAGCAACGCCGCGUGAGUGAUGAAGGUUUUCGGAUCGUAAAGCUCUGUUGUUAGGGAAGAACAAGUGCGAGAGUAACUGCUCGCACCUUGACGGUACCUAACCAGAAAGCCACGGCUAACUACGUGCCAGCAGCCGCGGUAAUACGUAGGUGGCAAGCGUUGUCCGGAAUUAUUGGGCGUAAAGGGCUCGCAGGCGGUUUCUUAAGUCUGAUGUGAAAGCCCCCGGCUCAACCGGGGAGGGUCAUUGGAAACUGGGAAACUUGAGUGCAGAAGAGGAGAGUGGAAUUCCACGUGUAGCGGUGAAAUGCGCAGAUAUCG